rnacentral:misc_RNA from 1 species
UCCCGGUUGGCCCGGGCAGUCUCGUUUGAAAAAUCCAACAAACGAUAAGGGUUGCGCUCGUUGCGGGACUUAACCCAACAUCUCACGACACGAGCUGACGACGGCCAUGCAGCACCUGUCACCAGGUUCCCGAAGGCACAGUCCUGUUUCCAGGACCUUCCUGGGAUGUCAAGCCUCGGUAAGGUUCUUCGCGUAGCUUCGAAUUAAACCACAUGCUCCACUGCUUGUGCGGAGCCCCGUCAAUUCCAUUUGAGUUUUAAGCUUGCGCUCGUACUCCCCAGGCGGGGUGCUUAACGCGUUAGCUUCUCAGCGCAAAGGGUCGAUACUUCACACUAAUAGCACCCAUCGUUUACGGCGUGGACUAC